rnacentral:tRNA from 1 species
CGGGGAGUAGCUCAGACGGCCAGAGCGCCAGAAUCGGGAUCUGGAGGUCGCGGGUUCAAGUCCCGCCUCCCCGA